UAAACAAUUUGGCCUUGUGGAAACUUAUUUUCCAUAUUAAUUUUGGAAUUAAAAUUCAUAAUUUCUCCAUGCAGAAGUUGUGAUAAUGAGGGUUGAAGAGAAAAAAUCGAGGUGCCUACUUGUUUGUUCGUAACUGAUUUUUAGAUUGAAAAUGAGUUUCAUCUGAACUAAAGCUGUCCAAAAUAUCCGAUAUACCAUAACCGACCCGGACCCUACCCGGACCCUAUCCGGACCCGAACUGGACCUGAAAAAAAUUGGAUAGUAUGCGGGUAAAAAAAAUUGCCCAUUAAAGUUUCGGGUAUGGGUCUGGAUAUGUUAUACCCAUACCCGAUUUGGACCCGACCCGAACCCAACUUUUAAAUGGAUAGGGUCCGGAAUAGUUUUCAAAUCCAGACCCGGGCCCGGACCCGAUGAAAUAUUCGAUAGUAAAUAAAAAAGAUUUGAACUUUUGAAGUUGCGGGAUCAAUUUUAAUUGGACUUAUCGACUCUUAAGUAUUUUUAUUCUAGUGAAAUAUUGAAAUCCUAACCGCUCUUUUAUUCCUUUCUUUUUUCUAUUUUUUACUCUUUGUUUUUUACUGUUUAUUUUUUUGUUUCAUUUCCGCCUAAGAGUUUUUUAUGAAGCAAUAUUUCCAUCGCCGUCAUCAUUAACGAUAUUAAUUCUCUACAGACGACAACCUAGUUUUCUGAUUCCUUUUUAUUUUUUUUUUCCUAUUUUUGAAUGUUAGUAUAUAAUAUUAGUAAUUACUACAACUAUAUAUUCUCUUUAUGUAUAAUAUGGUAUCAUAAUAUUUUUAUUU
rnacentral:lncRNA from 1 species